GACGAACGCUGGCGGCGUGCCUAAUACAUGCAAGUCGAGCGAAUCAUUAGGAGCUUGCUCCUUUUGGUUAGCGGCGGACGGGUGAGUAACACGUGGGCAACCUGCCUAUAAGACUGGGAUAACUUCGGGAAACCGGAGCUAAUACCGGAUAAUCCUUUUUCACACAUGUGGGAAAGCUGAAAGACGGUGCAAGCUGUCACUUAUAGAUGGGCCCGCGGCGCAUUAGCUAGUUGGUGAGGUAAUGGCUCACCAAGGCGACGAUGCGUAGCCGACCUGAGAGGGUGAUCGGCCACACUGGGACUGAGACACGGCCCAGACUCCUACGGGAGGCAGCAGUAGGGAAUCUUCCGCAAUGGACGAAAGCCUGACGGAGCAACGCCGCGUGAACGAUGAAGGCCUUCGGGUCGUAAAGUUCUGUUGUUAGGGAAGAACAAGUACCGGAGUAACUGCCGGUACCUUGACGGUACCUAACCAGAAAGCCACGGCUAACUACGUGCCAGCCGCCGCAGUAACAC
rnacentral:rRNA from 1 species